AGAGUUUGAUCCUGGCUCAGAACGAACGCUGGCGGCAGGCCUAACACAUGCAAGUCGAGCGCCCAGCAAUGGGAGCGGCGGACGGGUGAGUAACACGUGGGAAUUUUCCUCAAGGUACGGAACAACUCAGGGAAACUUGGGCUAAUACCGUAUGAUGCAGAGAUGCCAAAGAUUUAUCGCCCUGGGAUAAGCCCGCGUCAGAUUAGGUAGUUGGUGGGGUAAUGGCCUACCAAGCCUGUGAUCUGUAGCUGGUCUGAGAGGACGAUCAGCCACAUUGGGACUGAGACACGGCCCAAACUCCUACGGGAGGCAGCAGUGGGGAAUCUUGCGCAAUGGGCGAAAGCCUGACGCAGCCAUGCCGCGUGAAUGAUGAAGGUCUUAGGAUUGUAAAGUUCUUUCGCUCGUGACGAUGAUGACGGUAACGAGAGAAGAAGCCCCGGCUAACUUCGUGCCAGCAGCCGCGGUAAUACGAAGGGGGCUAGCGUUGUUCGGAAUUACUGGGCGUAAAGCGCGCGUAGGCGGCUUUGCAAGCCAGAGGUGAAAUGCCUGAGCUCAACUUAGGAAUUGCCUUUGGGACUGCGAGGCUUCGAGGACGGAAGAGGUGAGUGGAAUUCCCAGUGUAGAGGUGAAAUUCGUAGAUAUUGGGAAGAACACCGGUGGCGAAGGCGGCUCACUGGUCCGUUUCUGACGCUAAAGCGCGAAAGCGUGGGGAUCAAACAGGAUUAGAUACCCUGGUAGUCCACGCUGUAAACGAUGAGUGCUAGGCGUCGGCACGCUUGCGUGUCGGUGCCGCAGCUAAC
rnacentral:rRNA from 1 species